rnacentral:rRNA from 1 species
UACAGGGGGGGCAAGCGUUGUUCGGAAUUACUGGGCGUAAAGGGCCAGUAGGCGGCCAACUAAGUCCGACGUGAAAUCCCAAGGCUUAACCUUGGAACUGCGUCGGAUACUGGAUGGCUUGAAUUCGGGAGAGGGAUGCAGAAUUCCAGGUGUAGCGGUGAAAUGCGUAGAUAUCUGGAGGAAUACCGGUGGCGAAGGCGGCAUCCUGGACCGACAUUGACGCUGAGGAGCGAAAGCCAGGGGAGCAAACGGG